rnacentral:rRNA from 1 species
GACGAACGCUGGCGGCGUGCUUAACACAUGCAAGUCGAACGGAAAGGCCCUGCUUUUGUGGGGUGCUCGAGUGGCGAACGGGUGAGUAACACGUGAGUAACCUGCCCUUGACUUUGGGAUAACUUCAGGAAACUGGGGCUAAUACCGGAUAGGAGCUCCUGCUGCAUGGUGGGGGUUGGAAAGUUUCGGCGGUUGGGGAUGGACUCGCGGCUUAUCAGCUUGUUGGUGGGGUAGUGGCUUACCAAGGCUUUGACGGGUAGCCGGCCUGAGAGGGUGACCGGCCACAGUGGGACUGAGAUACGGCACGGACUCCUACGGGAGGCAGCAGAGGGGAAUAAUGCACAAUGGGCGGAAGCCUGAUGCAGCAACGCCGCGUGCGGGAUGACGGCCUUCGGGUUGUAGACCGCUUUCGCCUGUGACGAAGCGUGAGUGACGGUAAUGGGUAAAGAAGCACCGGCUAACUACGUG